AGUGUUUACAAAUCAAAUUUCAAAUCUUUUCGACAUUAUUUGCCUAAUGAUCAAAGGGUUUCAAAUUUAUAAUUUUAAUGGUCGAUAAGAGGCGUUUUCUCGUUUAACGGCAUAAAGAUAUCCAAAUCAAUUGAAUUUUUGUUAGAAAAUUUUUUAAACUAUUUAAAACAAGAUCUAUACUCUUGAUCUUGAUUACAAGACUCCUAUCAUCAUUUUUUAAAUAGUAUUCAUUUUCAGCCAUUCAUUUUUCUGUUCACUUGAUUGAUAAAAGAACAAUAUCGAAAGUGCGUGAAAUUUGAUUUCUAGGUAGUUUAAAUGGUUUAGAUUAUAUUUGUGUGUGUGUGUGUGUGUGUGUGUGUGUGUGUGUGUUUUGUAUUUGAAAUAAAUAAAUAUUGCUGGUAACCUGCAUAU
rnacentral:lncRNA from 1 species